UACAUGGCUAUGCACUUAACAUACAUGCACGUGCACUUACACAGGUUGCGUUUUUACUCUCGGAAACUCAGUUGAGAUCUGUUACUCUGGUGAAAACAAAAUCGACAUUUAGGUUGGCGGAAGGCCAAGACAAGCAAACCGUUUGCGAAAGCGCGACUUCUAGUAAAAUCGUCUGACGAGAUUUCGAACGCUGUUGUCCGCCUGCGGAAUUAAAAAUCGAGUCAAAGAAUUCACCAUGUGCUUUCCGUAGAAGUCAGCUUCGGAAAUAAACCUGCUGUGCGAAGGAAGACGCAGGGCCUACAAUUCUGCUCAGCAAGCGUAGUUCUCCCGUUAUUACCAGUGAAAUCUAUGUCUUUGAGAACUUCAGAUAACGGGCUGCAGUCAUUGGUCCAUCUUGAACAAUCUCAUAGUAGCAGAUUUCUCUGAUGUCCGUUGCAAGAUUACCAUUUUACGUCCGAACCCACUGCCACUGAGCUCGACUUUUCUCCAGGGCGACGCCAUUAUAUCGUCUGGUGUCUGGUUGCUCUCCCUCUCUGGUUGGCGGAAAAGAUAGAAUCAUGCUUUGUUUAUAGCGGCCGUAUACUUCAGGCGAAUGCUUGUUGACUAAA